AUUGAACGCUGGCGGCAUGCCUUACACAUGCAAGUCGAACGGCAGCACGGGUGCUUGCACCUGGUGGCGAGUGGCGAACGGGUGAGUAAUACAUCGGAACAUGUCCUGUAGUGGGGGAUAGCCCGGCGAAAGCCGGAUUAAUACCGCAUACGAUCUACGGAUGAAAGCGGGGGACCUUCGGGCCUCGCUCUAUAGGGUUGGCCGAUGGCUGAUUAGCUAGUUGGUGGGGUAAAGGCCUACCAAGGCGACGAUCAGUAGCUGGUCUGAGAGGACGACCAGCCACACUGGGACUGAGACACGGCCCAGACUCCUACGGGAGGCAGCAGUGGGGAAUUUUGGACAAUGGGCGAAAGCCUGAUCCAGCAAUGCCGCGUGUGUGAAGAAGGCCUUCGGGUUGUAAAGCACUUUUGUCCGGAAAGAAAUCCUUGGCCCUAAUACGGUCGGGGGAUGACGGUACCGGAAGAAUAAGCACCGGCUAACUACGUG
rnacentral:rRNA from 1 species